rnacentral:rRNA from 1 species
CACGUAGGGGGCGAGCGUUGUCCGGAUUUAUUGGGCGUAAAGAGCUCGUAGGCGGCUCAGUAAGUCGGGUGUGAAAACUCCAGGCUCAACCUGGAGACGCCACCUGAUACUGCUGUGGCUAGAGUCCGGUAGGGGAGCAUGGAAUUCCUGGUGUAGCGGUGAAAUGCGCAGAUAUCAGGAGGAACACCAGUGGCGAAGGCAGGUCUCUGGGCUGACACUGACGCUCAUGCACGAAAGCGUGGGGAGCAAACAGG